rnacentral:rRNA from 1 species
AUCUAUGGCCAUACCACCCUGAAUGAGCCCAAUCCUGUCUGAUCUCAGAAGUUAAGCAUGGCCGGGUUAGUACUUGGUUAGUACUGGUUAGUACUUGGAUAGGAGAUCUCAUUUGUCAAUU